GAUGAAGAACGCAGCGAAAUGCGAUAAGUAAUGUGAAUUGCAGAAUUCAGUGAAUCAUCGAAUCUUUGAACGCACAUUGCGCCCGCCAGUAUUCUGGCGGGCAUGCCUGUUCGAGCGUCAUUUCAACCAUCAAGCCCCCGGGCUUGUGUUGGGGACCUGCGGCUGCCGCAGGCCCUGAAAAGCAGUGGCGGGCUCGCUGUCACACCGAGCGUAGUAGCAUACAUCUCGCUCUGGGCGUGCUGCGGGUUCCGGCCGUUAAACUACCCUUUUAACUCAAGGUUGACCUCGGAUCAGGUAGGAAGACCCGCUGAACUUAAGCAUAUCAAUAAGCGGAGGA
rnacentral:misc_RNA from 1 species